rnacentral:lncRNA from 1 species
UUCAUCUAUUUAACACGAAUUAGAAGCACUAUCUUUAUUAUUCACAAAAUAUUCAUAAAUAGCUUUGUUUAUGGACUCAUAUUUUAUUUCUGCUCUAUUUGUCAGAUUCCUACAUUGAUAAUUAUAGUUCCCAGAAAUGUUAAUAUAUUUGCUCUCGGAUCUACCCUACAACAAAAACGAGCAUUGUCAAAUUGCUACACCCAUAUCAUCAUUCACAACAGAUUACUGUAGCCUGGAACUCCUGGGCUCAAGGGAUUCUCCUGCUUCAGCCUCUCAAGUAGCUGGGACUACAGGCCUUCUGACAAGCAAAUGAAGCUCACUGGCAGUAGUGAUCCGGAGGCAAAUUGGACAAUUCGUGACUGAGUUACAAAAGAAGAUACCUUACAAAGAUUAUAGUGUGACAUGAUGCUUGUCUGAAGCUUUGACUUUCCUAUCAAAAUAAUAAAUAGAAAAUAAUGGAAAUUUCAAUAAUUCACUUGUAUUUCUGAUGGUGAGAUUCACCAAACUCCCUAAAACCACACUCAACCAUUUUUAUUGAGAAACAUCAGUUUUCUGUCAGAUAACUUAUGAAUAUAACUUCUUUCUUUUUUCAGAU